AUUGAACGCUGGCGGCAGGCCUAACACAUGCAAGUCGAACGAGUGGCGGACGGGUGAGUAACGUCUGGGAAACUGCCUGAUGGAGGGGGAUAACUACUGGAAACGGUAGCUAAUACCGCAUACCAUCAGAUGUGCCCAGAUGGGAUUAGCUUGUUGGUGGGGUAACGGCUCACCAAGGCGACGAUCCCUAGCUGGUCUGAGAGGAUGACCAGCCAGAAUGGAACUGAGGCACGGUCCAGACUCCUAGGGGAGGCAGUAGUGGGGAAUAUUGCACAAUGGGGGGGAGCCUGAUGCAGCCAUGCCGCGUGUAUGAAGAAGGCCUUCGGGUUGUAAGGUACUUUCAGCGGGGAGGCGUUACCCGGAGAAGAAGCACCGGCUAACUCCGUGCCAGCAGCCGCGGUAAUUC
rnacentral:rRNA from 1 species